rnacentral:rRNA from 1 species
UUAAGCGACUAAGCGUACACGGUGGAUGCCCUGGCAGUCAGAGGCGAUGAAGGACGUGCUAAUCUGCGAAAAGCGUCGGUAAGGUGAUAUGAACCGUUAUAACCGGCGAUGUCCGAAUGGGGAAACCCAGUGUGUUUCGACACACUAUCAUUAACUGAAUCCAUAGGUUAAUGAGGCGAACCGGGGGAACUGAAACAUCUAAGUACCCCGAGGAAAAGAAAUCAACCGAGAUUCCCCCAGUAGCGGCGAGCGAACGGGGAGGAGCCCAGAGCCUGAAUCAGUGUGUGUGUUAGUGGAAGCGUCUGGAAAGGCGUGCGAUACAGGGUGACAGCCCCGUACACAAAAAUGCACAUGCUGUGAGCUCGAUGAGUAGGGCGGGACACGUGGUAUCCUGUCUGAAUAUGGGGGGACCAUCCUCCAAGGCUAAAUACUCCUGACUGACCGAUAGUGAACCAGUACCGUGAGGGAAAGGCGAAAAGAACCCCGGCGAGGGGAGUGAAAAAGAACCUGAAACCGUGUACGUACAAGCAGUGGGAGCCCUGAUUUAUCAGGGUGACUGCGUACCUUUUGUAUAAUGGGUCAGCGACUUAUAUUCUGUAGCAAGGUUAACCGAAUAGGGGAGCCGGAGGGAAACCGAGUCUUAACUGGGCGUUAAGUUGCAGGGUAUAGACCCGAAACCCGGUGAUCUAGCCAUGGGCAGGUUGAAGGUUGGGUAACACUAACUGGAGGACCGAACCGACUAAUGUUGAAAAAUUAGCGGAUGACUUGUGGCUGGGGGUGAAAGGCCAAUCAAACCGGGAGAUAGCUGGUUCUCCCCGAAAGCUAUUUAGGUAGCGCCUCGUGAAUUCAUCUCCGGGGGUAGAGCACUGUUUCGGCAAGGGGGUCAUCCCGACUUACCAACCCGAUGCAAACUGCGAAUACCGGAGAAUGUUAUCACGGGAGACACACGGCGGGUGCUAACGUCCGUCGUGAAGAGGGAAACAACCCAGACCGCCAGCUAAGGUCCCAAAGUCAUGGUUAAGUGGGAAACGAUGUGGGAAGGCCCAGACAGCCAGGAUGUUGGCUUAGAAGCAGCCAUCAUUUAAAGAAAGCGUAAUAGCUCACUGGUCGAGUCGGCCUGCGCGGAAGAUGUAACGGGGCUAAACCAUGCACCGAAGCUGCGGCAGCGACACUGUGUGUUGUUGGGUAGGGGAGCGUUCUGUAAGCCUGUGAAGGUGUGCUGUGAGGCAUGCUGGAGGUAUCAGAAGUGCGAAUGCUGACAUAAGUAACGAUAAAGCGGGUGAAAAGCCCGCUCGCCGGAAGACCAAGGGUUCCUGUCCAACGUUAAUCGGGGCAGGGUGAGUCGACCCCUAAGGCGAGGCCGAAAGGCGUAGUCGAUGGGAAACAGGUUAAUAUUCCUGUACUUGGUGUUACUGCGAAGGGGGGACGGAGAAGGCUAUGUUGGCCGGGCGACGGUUGUCCCGGUUUAAGCGUGUAGGCUGGUUUUCCAGGCAAAUCCGGAGAAUCAAGGCUGAGGCGUGAUGACGAGGCACUACGGUGCUGAAGCAACAAAUGCCCUGCUUCCAGGAAAAGCCUCUAAGCAUCAGGUAACAUCAAAUCGUACCCCAAACCGACACAGGUGGUCAGGUAGAGAAUACCAAGGCGCUUGAGAGAACUCGGGUGAAGGAACUAGGCAAAAUGGUGCCGUAACUUCGGGAGAAGGCACGCUGAUGGUAGGUGAAGCGACUUGCUCGUGGAGCUGAAAUCAGUCGAAGAUACCAGCUGGCUGCAACUGUUUAUUAAAAACACAGCACUGUGCAAACACGAAAGUGGACGUAUACGGUGUGACGCCUGCCCGGUGCCGGAAGGUUAAUUGAUGGGGUCAGCGCAAGCGAAGCUCUUGAUCGAAGCCCCGGUAAACGGCGGCCGUAACUAUAACGGUCCUAAGGUAGCGAAAUUCCUUGUCGGGUAAGUUCCGACCUGCACGAAUGGCGUAAUGAUGGCCAGGCUGUCUCCACCCGAGACUCAGUGAAAUUGAACUCGCUGUGAAGAUGCAGUGUACCCGCGGCAAGACGGAAAGACCCCGUGAACCUUUACUAUAGCUUGACACUGAACACUGGUCCUUGAUGUGUAGGAUAGGUGGGAGGCUUUGAAGUGUGGACGCCAGUCUGCAUGGAGCCGUCCUUGAAAUACCACCCUUUAAUGGCUGGUGUUCUAACGUGGGCCCGUAAUCCGGGUUGCGGACAGUGUCUGGUGGGUAGUUUGACUGGGGCGGUCUCCUCCUAAAGAGUAACGGAGGAGCACGAAGGUUGGCUAAUCCUGGUCGGACAUCAGGAGGUUAGUGCAAUGGCAUAAGCCAGCUUGACUGCGAGCGUGACGGCGCGAGCAGGUGCGAAAGCAGGUCAUAGUGAUCCGGUGGUUCUGAAUGGAAGGGCCAUCGCUCAACGGAUAAAAGGUACUCCGGGGAUAACAGGCUGAUACCGCCCAAGAGUUCAUAUCGACGGCGGUGUUUGGCACCUCGAUGUCGGCUCAUCACAUCCUGGGGCUGAAGUAGGUCCCAAGGGUAUGGCUGUUCGCCAUUUAAAGUGGUACGCGAGCUGGGUUUAGAACGUCGUGAGACAGUUCGGUCCCUAUCUGCCGUGGGCGCUGGAGAACUGAGGGGGGCUGCUCCUAGUACGAGAGGACCGGAGUGGACGCAUCACUGGUGUUCGGGUUGUCAUGCCAAUGGCACUGCCCGGUAGCUAAAUGCGGAAGAGAUAAGUGCUGAAAGCAUCUAAGCACGAAACUUGCCCCGAGAUGAGUUCUCCCUGAGACUUAGAGUCUCCUGAAGGAACGUUGAAGACGACGACGUUGAUAGGCCGGGUGUGUAAGCGCAGCGAUGCGUUGAGCUAACCGGUACUAAUGAACCGUGAGGCUUAACCUU